GAAUGUGCAAAUUGUGAGCGUUUUGCUCA
rnacentral:sRNA from 1 species